GUGGGAGUUAGUUCCAGGGUGCUGUAGCAUACCUCUCUUCAACCGACCUUUAUUGACCUUAUAUUUUGUUUAGGAAGAAAUUAUAUUUUAUUCAUCGUACAAUAAAUGAAAUGAAAUUCAUGAUUGUUAAAUUCAUUAUAAUUACUAGAAACGAAUAAAAUAACUAUUGGUCAAUAAUCAUAAAUCUGCCACUUUCAGCGCCCCGUAUUUUAGGUCGCCUUCGGACUGACAAAAAUCCGUUCACCGAAUACAAACUGUAAGAACAGUAUAUAUAUUAUCUUAAAAGCUUUUCCGACUGGAUUUGGGAUUAUCUACAUAGAUAAAAUCUAUAGAUAAUUUAGAUUUUUACGCACUUACUUUUUAAUUUUUUUCUAGAUAAAACCGACCUAUCUUAUCUUCGAU